rnacentral:rRNA from 1 species
GACGAACGCUGGCGGCGGGCUUAACACAUGCAAGUCGAACGGAAAGGCCCUGCGUGUGUGGGGUGCUCGAGGGGCGAACGGGUGAGUAACACGUGAGUAACCUGCCCUUGACUUUGGGAUAACUUCAGGAAACGGGGGCUAAUACCGGAUAGGAGAUGCUGCAGGAGGGAGGGGGGUGGAAAGUUUCGGCGGUUGGGGCUGGACUAGCGGCUGACGAGUUUGUUGGUGGGGUAGGGGCUGACCAAGGAUUUGACGGGUAGGCGGCCUGAGAGGGUGACCGGCCACCUUGGGCCUGCGGUACGGCCCAGACUCCUACGGGAGGCAGCAGUGGGGAAUCUUGCCCAAUGGGCGGAAGCCUGAUGCAGCGACGCCGCGUGCGGGAUGACGGCCUUCGGGUUGUAAACCGCUUUCGCCUGUGACGAAGCGUGAGUGACGGUACUGGGUAAAGAAGCACCGGCUAACUACGUG